rnacentral:sRNA from 1 species
AUCACACUGGGAAUUGUAUGACAGUUCAUUUUCUAUAUAAGUAGCACAGAAAUUUAAAGCUUGCUUGGAAGUAUCUCAGAGAUGAGCUGAUCCAACCAUUUCAUUUUUAUAGAUGAAGAAAUUGAAGCUCAGAGGUAGGGCUGGCCUCAAAUUCUUUUUCUAGUGUACAUACCCUCCUGCUGUUUGUGAAUUGGUAGUGUAUUUCAUCUGAUUAUUACAAGAAUAUAUUGAUUAUAAUACAUUAAAUAUUAAAUAUGACAGUAGUCUGUUAACAUUUGGAAGAAAGGUAGGUGGUUUUCUCCCUGUUUCAUUUCAUCUGAAUUUGCCUCAUUGUUUUUUCAUUCAGUUGUAUGUAUGUUUAUAUUAAUGUUCUUAGAUUCCUUAGUCAUUCCUUAGCAUUAAUAGCUAAGUGCUUAAUGAAUAGUUUUAUUAAUGAAAUAAUUAGUUCUUGAUUUAUCACAAGGGAUAUAUGUAACAACCAUAACAGAUGUAUAGCAGGCAUUUGUUUAUACUUGAUAAGAAAAUAUGUGAUACUUUGAAAUUGAAGUGUUGUAACCCAUUUCUUUGGGUGGGUGGGAUUUAUUGCAGAUCACCUGAAAGAACCAUUCUUAGAAGCCACUGACAAUUCUCAUCUGAGGUCCAUGCCAGCAAGCUUCCUUCCUCCUUCAUCAGUGAAGAAACGAGGUGUUCUUCUUUUGGGAGAUGCAUAUAAUAUGAGGCAUCCACUUACUGG